rnacentral:rRNA from 1 species
UACGUAGGGACCAAGCGUUGUUCGGAUUUACUGGGCGUAAAGAGCGUGUAGGCGGCCAGGCAGGUCUGUUGUGAAAACUGGAGGCUCAACUUCCAGACGUCGACAGAAACCGCUUGGCUAGAGUCCGGAAGAGGUGAGUGGAAUUCCUAGUGUAGAGGUGAAAUUCGUAGAUAUUAGGAAGAACACCAGUGGCGAAGGCGGCUCACUGGUCCGGUACUGACGCUGAGGUGCGAAAGCGUGGGGAGCGAACAGG